rnacentral:rRNA from 1 species
GGGGGAUAUUGCGCAAUGGGGGAAACCCUGACGCAGCAACGCCGCGUGAAGGAUGAAGGUCUUCGGAUCGUAAACUUCUGUCUUCAGGGACGAAUAAAUGACGGUACCUGAGGAGGAAGCCACGGCUAACUACGUGCCAGCAGCCGCGGUAAUACGUAGGUGGCAAGCGUUGUCCGGAUUUACUGGGUGUAAAGGGCGUGUAGGCGGGAUUGCAAGUCAGAUGUGAAAUGUCGGGGCUUAACUCCGAAGCUGCAUCUGAAACUGCAGUUCUUGAGUGCUGGAGAGGAAAGCGGAAUUCCUAGUGUAGCGGUGAAAUGCGUAGAUAUUAGGAGGAACACCAGUGGCGAAGGCGGCUUUCUGGACAGUAACUGACGCUGAGGCGCGAAAGCGUGGGGAGCAAAC